rnacentral:rRNA from 1 species
CCUACGGGUGGCAGCAGUGAGGAAUAUUGGUCAAUGGCCGUAAGCCUGAACCAGCCAUGUCGCGUGCGGGACGACUGCUCUAUGAGUUGUAAACUUCUUUUGUACCGGGGUAAAGUUCUCUACGAGUGGGUGUUUGCAAGUACGGCAUGAAUAAGGACCGGCUAAUUCCGUGCCAGCAGCCGCGGUAAUACGGAGGAUCCGAGCGUUAUCCGGAUUCAUUGGGUUUAAAGGGAGCGUAGACGGGUUGUCAAGCGAGUUGUGAAAUUUUGGGGCUCAACCGGGACAUUGCAGGGCAGACUGGCGGGCUUGAGUACACGUAAAGUAGGCGGAAUUCGUGGUGUAGCGGUGAAAUGCUUAGAUAUGACGAAGAACCCCGAUUGCGAAGGCAGCUUACUAAAGCGUGACUGACACUGAUGCUCGAAAGCGUGGGUAUCGAACAGGAUUAGAUACCCUAGUAGUC